GCAGGCCAUCAGCAGCCUCCGCCGCCCGCGCCGCCGGAAGCACAGGCGGGGCGCCGGGCCCGGGCGGCCUUGGAUGUGCGCAGGCGCAGGCCAAGCCUGUUGGGGGAAGACAGGGGCGGUCGGAGGUUCUGCGGCCCGCGGCUGCCCUCUCGUGGCACUUGGGCGCUACGGCAUGGGCGCUUCCGCCCAACCCCGGGAGCCCAGCCAAGCGCUGUGUUUUUCCAGGUCCGCGCAGGGCCAGGGGAACCCUGCGUGUUUGUUUGAUGGGAAUGGAUUACUGGAAAGCUAGACGGAAGGUACCCUGUAAACCGGCAGGCCCCACGUGAAUUCACCAUCUUGUUGGAGAGAGCAGAGAGUCUGAAGGUUUGAAGAUGAGGGGCUGGGGACAAUGGGAGAGAUGGAUGAGAUCCGGAGUUGAAGGACCAUUUGGGCCCGUUCUGAUUCUGUCAAUCCUCCACCUCCAUGGCCUGGCCUUCUCCAGCCACCCUUGGGCUGAGGAUGGAUGCUGUCCCCUGGAACCAUUACUCACAAAAGUGCUGGCAACCUCGACCCCUCCAAUCCC
rnacentral:lncRNA from 1 species